rnacentral:rRNA from 1 species
AUUGAACGCUGGCGGAAUGCUUUACACAUGCAAGUCGAACGGCAGCACGGGAGCUUGCUCCUGGUGGCGAGUGGCGAACGGGUGAGUAAUGCAUCGGAACGUACCUAUUAGUGGGGGCUAACUAUCCGAAAGGAUGGCUAAUACCGCAUACGUCCUGAGGGAGAAAGCGGGGGAUCGUAAGACCUCGCUUUAAUAGAGCGGCCGAUGUUGGAUUAGCUAGUUGGUGGGGUAAAGGCCUACCAAGGCGCCGAUCCAUAGCUGGUCUGAGAGGAUGAUCAGCAAGACUGAGAGUGGGCCACAGCCCAGACUACUACGGGGGGCAGCAGGGGGAAAUGUUAGACAAGGGGGGCAACCGUGAUUCAGCCAAUCCGCGUGAGUGUAGAAGGCCUUCGGGUUGUAAAGCUCGUACGGCAGGAACGAAACGGUAGUUACUAAUUCUAGCUACAAAUGACGGUACCUGAAGAAGAAGCACCGGCUAACUACGUGCCAGCCGCCGCGGUAA